UACGGAGUUACAAAGGACGACAUUAGACGAAUCAUCUGGAAAGAUGAAUCAAAGAAGGUAAUAAUCCUGUAGUCGAAAAUGUUGUCUCUCUUGAGUGGAUCCUGAGUACGACGGAGCACGUGAAAUUCCGUCGGAAUCUGGGAGGACCAUCUCCUAAGGCUAAAUACUCUCUAGUGACCGAUAGUGAACCAGUACCGUGAGGGAAAGGGGAAAAGCACCCCGGAAGGGGAGUGAAAUAGAACCUGAAACCGUGUGC
rnacentral:rRNA from 1 species